AACGUAGGUACCGAGCGUUAUCCGGAUUUACUGGGCGUAAAGCGCGUUCAGGCGGCUUGGCAAGUCGGGCAUGAAAGCUCUCGGCUCAACCGGGAGAGGUUGUCCGAUACUGCUAGGCUUGAGGGCAGUAGAGGGUGGUGGAAUUCCGGGUGUAGUGGUGAAAUGCGUAGAUAUCCGGAGGAACACCAGUGGCGAAAGCGGCCACCUGGACUGUACCUGACGCUCAAACGCGAAAGCUAGGGGAGCGAACGGG
rnacentral:misc_RNA from 1 species